AUGGCAGAAUGCUUCAAUAAGGUGCUCAAGGGUGUACGUGCAUUACCCGUGACAGCAAUAGUUCAAUACACAUUUGACAAGAUGAAUGAAUACUUUUUAAAGCACUCAAUGGAGACUGAUAAGCAGAUUGCUGGUGAGAACAAGGAUAAGCACAAGUACAAUUUCCCACCAAAGGUUGAAGAAUGGUUGGAAUUUCAAUCACGAAAGGCAGACUCCGAAGAAGCUGUACUAUAUGACGACAACGAGUGGAAGUAUGAGGUGAAAGAGCCCGGAGGAACCACAAACGAUGGCCGCCAACACGGAGGCCGGGCUUUCAAGGUCUCCCUAACACGGUGUGAUUGCAGCUGCAUGAGGCCGUCUUUGCUUCAUCUCCCAUGCUCGCACUUGUUAAAUGCAUCCCGGGUUAGGAAUGUGGACGUCAAUCACCCUCUUACCGUGAGGGAGUCCGAUUUCUCAAUCAUGACGGUAAAGAAUACAUGGACUCCACGGUUCCAGCCAUACUUGUACCAAUCACAAUGGCCGGAGUAUCAUGGAGUUCAACUAUGGCCGGACCCG
rnacentral:rRNA from 1 species